rnacentral:rRNA from 1 species
CCUACGGGCGGCAGCAGUGGGGAAUAUUGGACAAUGGGGGGAACCCUGAUCCAGCCAUGCCGCGUGUGUGAAGAAGGCCCUCGGGUUGUAAAGCACUUUCAGUGAGGAAGAACGCCUGGUGGUUAAUACCCACCAGGAAAGACAUCACUCACAGAAGAAGCACCGGCUAACUCCGUGCCAGCAGCCGCGGUAAUACGGAGGGUGCGAGCGUUAAUCGGAAUUACUGGGCGUAAAGCGCGCGUAGGUGGCUUGAUAAGCCGGUUGUGAAAGCCCCGGGCUCAACCUGGGAACGGCAUCCGGAACUGUCACGCUAGGGUGCAGGAGAGGAAGGUAGAAUUCCCGGUGUAGCGGUGAAAUGCGUAGAGAUCGGGAGGAAUACCAGUGGAGAAGGCGGCCUUCUGGCCUGACACUGACACUGAGGUGCGAAAGCGUGGGUAGCAAACAGGAUUAGAUACCCCAUAGUC